UACGUAGGGUGCAAGCGUUGUCCGGAAUUAUUGGGCGUAAAGAGCUCGUAGGCGGUCUGUCACGUCGGCUGUGAAAUCCCGAGGCUCAACCUCGGGUCUGCAGUCGAUACGGGCAAACUAGAGUAUUGCAGGGGAGACUGGAAUUUCUGGUGUAGCGGUGAAAUGCGCAGAUAUCAGGAGGAACACCGGUGGCGAAGGCGGGUCUCUGGGCAAUAACUGACGCUGAGGAGCGAAAGCGUGGGGAGCGAACAGG
rnacentral:rRNA from 1 species